GACGAACGCUGGCGGCGAGCUUAACACAUGCAAGUCGAACGGAAAGGCCCUGCUUUUGUGGGGUGCUCGAGUGGCGAACGGGUGAGUAACACGUGAGUAACCUGCCCUUGACUUUGGGAUAACUUCAGGAAACUGGGGCUAAUACCGGAUAGGAGCUCCUGCUGCAUGGUGGGGGUUGGAAAGUUUCGGCGGUUGGGGAUGGACUCGCGGCUUAUCAGCUUGUUGGUGGGGUAGUGGCUUACCAAGGCUUUGACGGGUAGCCGGCCUGAGAGGGUGACCGGCCACAUUGGGACUGAGAUACGGCCCAGACUCCUACGGGAGGCAGCAGUGGGGAAUAUUGCAGAAUGGGCGGAAGCCUGAUGCAGCAACGCCGCGUGCGGGAUGACGGCCUUCGGGUUGUAAACCGCUUUCGCCUGUGACGAAGCGUGAGUGACGGUAAUGGGUAAAGAAGCACCGGCUAACUACGUG
rnacentral:rRNA from 1 species